CAGUAGCCGCGGGAAUACAGAGGGUGCGAGCGUUAAUCGGAUUUACUGGGCGUAAAGCGUGCGUAGGCGGCUUCUUAAGUCGGAUGUGAAAUCCCUGAGCUUAACUUAGGAAUUGCAUUCGAUACUGGGAAGCUAGAGUAUGGGAGAGGAUGGUAGAAUUCCAGGUGUAGCGGUGAAAUGCGUAGAGAUCUGGAGGAAUACCGAUGGCGAAGGCAGCCAUCUGGCCUAAUACUGACGCUGAGGUACGAAAGCAUGGGGAGCAAACAGGAUUAGAUACCCCAGUAGUCCCUGUCUCUUAUAC
rnacentral:rRNA from 1 species